rnacentral:rRNA from 1 species
UACGGGGGGAGCAAGCGUUGUUCGGAUUUACUGGGCGUAAAGGGCGCGUAGGCGGUCAGCACAAGUCAGUUGUGAAAUCUCCGGGCUUAACUCGGAAAGGUCAACUGAUACUGUGCGACUAGAGUGCGGAAGGGGCAACUGGAAUUCUCGGUGUAGCGGUGAAAUGCGUAGAUAUCGAGAGGAACACCGGUGGCGAAGGCGGGUCACUGGACCAUAACUGACGCUGAGACACGAAAGCGUGGGUAGCAAACAGG